ensembl:lncRNA
CUAUACCCUCACCUCUUUUUCUCUCAUUAGAGAGAAUGUUCUAGAAUGCAACUUUCAGUCUGCUCUAGUUUGCAGAACAAAGCCACUCUCGCAGAGUCUAUGAGCAGGUGCUUAGGACAGAUGAUGCCACACCUCCUCGCAGACCACCUGGCCCACCCACCAUCGCCUGAGGUUUGGCUGGAGCUGAGCUGGCCUCUCUCGGGCCCUUUUCCCCGGGGAUGCUCACUAUGGAGCCAGAGAACCGGGACGUUGGUACCUCAUUUUCCCAGGAUUAACACAAGGCAACUGGGAAAGCCUAGGGCUGUUGGGAACAGCGACCGGUCGGCUGUGGUGGCAGUGAGGGCCCAGCCAGCACCCCAUCUCCCUGCUGCUCCGGGGACCCUCUGUUCCUCGCCCCCUCCCCUGGCAGGCGGGCACCCGUGCUUUCCCAGGAUGGGUUCCAACAGGAAUCGGGCGGCCACGUCUGGGGGCCCCGCGCAGUCUUCCUGUCGGUGCUGAGACCGGGACAAUUCAUCACAGGAGUCACGGCGAAACCCGAGGCUUGUCCAUACACGCGCGUUCGGGAUGGCGGGCUUUAAAAAUAACAGCCCGGGAAUGUUCUUUCCGCACCCCCGUGGAAGUGAAUACCUGCAUCCGAUUUGGAAUUUCAAAGACUCCAGCGAUCUCCGUGCUGGGCCCUCUUUGCCCUGAAGAGUGUCUGUGUCAGGAGGGCAAAGUGCUGUGGGGAAGGGUGCCGUGUCAGCGAGGAGCCGCCCUAACCAAGAUUAACGGCCCGUCUCCCCCGUCAGGGCCCGGCCGCCUAUCGGUGCUCCCUGGGCACUGGGACAGCGGCGAAAGAUUGAGGGGGAGCGGCCUCCGGAGCCCAGGAGGCGCCGCUGGGUUUCCUGUUGUCGCAAAGCUACGUUUAUUUAUCAGGUUCCAGGUCCGGGGCUCUUCGCUCCCGGCCGCUGUGCCCCACCUGUCAUCUGCACAGAGAUAGAGGCGGCCGCCCUGCGACGCUGUGCCCUGACUCCUGCAGUCAACACAGGCAAAAUUAAAAGAUCGCAUCAGCGAGGUUUGUGCUUCUCUGUGCCGCUAAAUAGAC